rnacentral:tRNA from 1 species
AGAAACUUAGGUUAAAUAAAACCAAGGGCCUUCAAACCCCUAAAAAAGAGAUAGAACCUCUUAGCUUCUA